AUGAUUGUUACCGGUUAUUCGGAAAUACGUACGUAUGAACCUGGAACGUCUAUACCGGUCCUAACGAGUUCACAAAGACUUUGGUCUUUGGGGGGAUACAAGUCAGAUCCUACGGGGUACCAGGGGACGUUCUUAUUCAACUAGAUUAUGCAAAGAAGAAAGUCAUGUUCGUGAAUUUUCGGAACCGAGAACAUUCAAUGAAGAUUGAUGACAGUUCCGCUCAGUGGAGGGAAUUGGUGAACAUUUGACGACAGUUUCUUUGAAGUGGAAAGAAUCUGUUAAGGUUUAGAGAUUUUACCAAAGAAAUGGGGGGAUAAAAAUUUUCAUUUGUUGAAUUUCUUCGGUAAAUUUCUAAACGCAAUCACAGGUGGUAGAGUUUGUGGUUUUUCUGUUGUUAAAGAAUGGAACCCUUAUCAAAU
rnacentral:lncRNA from 1 species